GAUGAAGAACGUAGCGAAAUGCGAUACGUAGUGUGAAUUGCAGAAUUUAGUGAAUCAUCGAAUCUUUGAACGCACAUUGCACCUCUCGGUAUUCCGGGAGGUAUGCCUGUUCGAGCGUCAUUUGUACCCUCAAGCUCUGCUUGGUGUUGGGUGUUUGUUCCGCCUCUGUGUGUGAACUCGCCUCAAAACAAUUGGCAGCCGGCGUACUUGUUUCGGAGCGCAGCACAUUUUGCGAUCCAGAUCAACGUACAGCGGCAUCCAAGAAGCCUUAUUUAACGCUCUUGACCUCGGAUCAGGUAGGGAUACCCGCUGAACUUAAGCAUAUCAAUAAGCGGAGGA
rnacentral:misc_RNA from 1 species